CUUUUGUUUCUUGUGUUCUCCAUAAUUAGUUUGCUUCUCCUUUUUUGAAAUCUACAGAAGAGACUGAGAAAGGCCUGGCUGUGGGGAAGGGACUUUUGUUACCCUGGAAGAGGUGAGAACAAAAAAUGUGACCUGACUGGAGAGCCAAGAUCGUGAGAGCCAUGAGGAAGAAUGAAGUAGAGAGUCUGCAAGGCCACAUUUUGCCAUGAUGGGUGCUCCAGCACAGAUUUUCUCAGAAUGCCUGUUGCUAUGUGUUUGCACUGGAGAAGGAAAGGUCAAAGAAAUGCACCUUGCACAUGGAGCAGAAGGAUAUUCAUGACCUAGACGAGGGCGCAACAAGAAUCUUCCAUAUCCAGGGUGACAAAGCACAAUGUAAGAG